GAGAGCACAGUACGAUGAAAGAUGUAAGCUGUGUUUGGGGGGGAGUUAUUGUCUAUCAUUGGCCUCUAUGGUAGAACCCGUCGGGGAGGCCUGAGAGGCGGUGGUUUACCCUGU
rnacentral:ncRNA from 1 species